rnacentral:tRNA from 1 species
GGAGGCCUUAGCUUAAUUUAAAGUGUCUGAGUUGCAUUCAGGAGAUGUAGUAGUAGAUUACAGGUCUUCAUUAAUU